rnacentral:lncRNA from 1 species
CACGCUUGACAGUAUUAUGUUUAACACCAUUUCGUCGAACAGGCUCUCGAGAAAGAGCCGAGUCCAAAAGAAACAAAAUUAUGACGUUUCGUGAACAUUGUAGUUCCGCAUUGUGAACCAUGCGCGUGUGUAACAAUGUGAAUUAUGAAUGUUAGGUUAACCCUAACCUCAAACGAUAAUUGUUUAGCAAACAACUAGAAGCAAGAACGACUAAGACCGUGAACAAGGUAGAAGAAACGCCGAAGGUAAUAAGCAGCGAAGCAAUUAGAAGAAGUAAUGCGGUCGUAAAGGAAGGAAAACGAGAGAAAAUGGGAAAACAAAAACAAAAGGCGAAAUACGCGAGGUUAUAAUUGGACAGCCAGACGUGUUCCAUGCCAGACAGUAGAAUUAUCGUAUGGAAGAGCCGAGAUGCGUAAACGCAACGAGAAAUCGCAGCACAGAUGAUGCCUCAGACGCUCCUUAGUCAUGAACCAACUUGUGAAGUGUGCAAAGACCUAUACAGGUCAGGAUAUUUUUGGAAAUAUCUGAAAGGAAACAGAGAACGUUUGCCAAUUCCAUGGAUAGACGCCUUUGAGACCCUCUCGCAUGUCGUGACUCGUUAAGCUGAUCAACGAUCGCAAUUUCGAAUCAGUCCUUUAAUCUACCGACUGCUAUUGGUUAUCCAUUACGCGUUUAACGAGGUCGCCGCUGCAAGAAACGAUAUUGCACCGGUAUGGAUUUAUUUACAGCACGUCCUGACCAGCAUCCCGCACUUCUUCAUCCGCAUCCCCUUGAAUAUCCAAUAGAAAAGCGCGAUAUCCGUUUUUUCCCUAUCUUUCUUUUUUAUUCAAGGCAUUUUUCAUAAUUCUCUUUAAAACAUGCAUCCACACGAAGCGGGUAAUUUAAGAUCGCAGUCAAAAUCAUAGAAUAUCAUUCUUUCUGUCAGAACUAUUUGAAAAAUGUCACAAAAUGCCAAAAAGAAAAAAUAAAAAAAAUAUUGUAACCUUGUCCAACUAUGGAAAAUGUUUUAGCUGAUAGAACAAUAUCUCAAUGUUUACCAUAUGAACGUUACCAUAUGAAACACAAUGUUUGAACCGAUCAUUUUAUCAUAAAUAUUCGUUAAAUCGAAUAAAAAUAAAAGGGGAUAAAAUUAGAAAGCUUUUAUAUCUGUCUAGACAUGCUAUAAGUAGAAUUAAACUGUAUAUGCUCAGACACGCAAUGGUCUGGCAAAAUUUGACACAAUGACAAGAUUUCUAAGUAGAAUAUAAGCUAUGGUCAGAUUAUAACAAAUGAAAGAGAAAUAUACAUACAAUAUAUAAUAGUAACAUUCAGUUUUUAAGAAAAAUAA